GACAGUAUAGUGUAGUGGUUUGAGUGCUGGGCUUGGACUUCCGGAGAUCAGGGUUCGAAUCCCCGCUCAGCCC